rnacentral:lncRNA from 1 species
AGCCAUGAGCCUCUUAAUUAGUCAUUUCUUGUCUUUUGCAAGUCAGUGCCAGGUAAAUGGAAAGAAACUCUGUGGUCCUCAAAUAAUGUGUCUGUCUUUCACAUGACUUUUUACAACAUUUGGCUCGAUAUCCUUUGUGACCAUAUGAAAUGCCACCAUCCCCAAUCUUUUCCAUGCAUUAAACAGCAGUGUGUAUCCUGUGUUUUAAACAAGACAGAGAGGCGCUCUGCCUGCUCCUAGGGGUGGAGAUUUCCUGCAUUUCACUCUGUCCUUCUUUCUAAGGGGAAGUUUAGCCGGUUGGCCUUGGUAUGGUAUUCACCAUGUCAUGUGGUACCCAUUAGCAUAGCGGUAUUUACCAAAUAGUAAGAUUCUGGCCAUUACGUCAUCUUUUUACUUAGCUGCUGCAGGACAUGCGUAACACGCAACGCUACUUUGUAAAGCUCUCUGAAGCCUUCUCUUUAUAAAAGGAGCCUGGCAUUCAGGAGUCAGGCUGACCUCCCUUACACAGUGUGAGACAGGAGGUGAUUUGUGUUCUCUACUGUGAAAUCAGAAGGACCUAGUGCUCUGUGUUCGGGAUGCAAAGCACCAGCUCGUCCCUCCCCGCAGGAGUGCACUUCAGCAGAUUCUGGCAUCUGAGCUCCUGCCCUUUCUCUUCUUGUUCUCAUUCACUAAUCCUCUUUCCUUGAUGCCAUUUUGUUAAAUUUUGCAAGUGUCAUUUUGGAACCUAGAGAUGGGGUUUGAAUAUAUGCAUCUAUCAUCAGUCAUUUUAUAUUUAUUUUGUAAAAUGAAAACUUUUUUUUUUUUGGAGAGGGGAGGCAGUGUCUUUCUAUACAGACCAACCCAGCCUCAAAUUCAACGUUCUUUCUGACCCUCAGCCUUCUGAGUGCUGACAUCUGUGUGCCAUCCGGUCUCGCUGGAACUUUAAACAAACUAUCUUUGUUCAUUUUACCUGUAUUGUCUAAAAGGCAAAACAGACCCAGCCAAAUAAUAAAUAAAUAAAUAAAUAAAUAAAUAAAUAUCGAGGGUUUUUUUGUUUUGUUUUGUUUUGUUUUUUGUCCUUGUAAGUUCCUGAAUUUUAUUUACAUACACAUUUGAAAUUCUUGCGAUUGACCUCUGAAAUACCACAGGCCUUUGCAACCUCAGAUUUUCUCAGCCUGCUUACUUCCUGUCUCCUCUCCUCGUUUGGCAUGGUGGCUCUGCAGGAGUUUUAUAAUAGCACUCACCACUUCUGUUCCCUGGAAGGAUUCUUUUGGUUUUAUAUACUUUACUUAAAUACUAGUUAAGUUACGAUUGGUCACCCGUUUCAAACGUCCUAGCACGCCGUAGCCCGUAAGUUACGAUUGGUCACCCGUUUCAAACGUCCUAGCACGUCGUAGCCCGAUGUUUGCUUUAAGUAUGGCUAUUAUUUCAACUUCUUAAAAACUUGUUGCUCUGUAUGGUAGCAAGAUAUAUGUGUACAUAAAAGAUACCUUCUAAAACUCUUUAAACUUGUCUCUUUAUAAAAGGAACAUGUAACGGAGGGGUCUGGGUGGGCUCUGCCCUACUGUGUAAAUGGACCUCCUAGGCGAAUGCAUUUGAGAAAGCUUGGUUAAAGUGACCCAACGCUUCUACUCUCCAGACACCUAAUGAAGGAGCUUCUCCCCGUGUUUGUAAACAGAAUGCGUCCCCACUCCUUGAAAUGGCAUUUUCUAGAAACCAUUUUUUGAGAACAUUCAUUUAGGAAUUAAGUAAGGUCUAUAGUCAUACUUUUAAAAUUUUCCAAUACCACUUGGCUGUUCUCAGUAUAGAUAACCACCUAAUGAUAGAUUUAGCAAUUUAGCAUUAAUAAGUUUAUACUAAAAAAAAAUGGGUCCAUAACAGAAGUUCUUUAUAAGAAACAAUUUUUCUUUAUUCUAUUAUUUUCAGAAUCUUGGUAUGUUAGCCUUGAAUCCAUGCCCUCCUGCCUCAGUUUCAAAACUACAGACACCAGUGGCUACCGUGCCCAGACCUAGGACAAAAAUUGACUGCUGUAGCUACCUAGAUGAACCAAGACAGCCUUAACAGUUUGAACUGUGCUCCUUCAUCUCAUUUAGAAUUAGUGAUUCACUGCGAAUAAGCUGUCAAGAAUGGGAGUUCAUCAACCACGUAUUAGCCACCAGAGCUCACUUUGCCGUUCAACUGUGAAUUAAGGGCUCGGAGAUGGUUUAAAAUACCACACGGCCUUGGUGAGUCAGCUCUGCCACACACACUGCACUUGUCGCUUCGUAGCCGGGAGUGACGACAUAUGAGCUGCAGUGUCCUUACUCGUUUGUCUCCUGGAGACAACUUGGCAGGCAGACAUCUUGCAGAUAAAUGAGGAAAGAUUGUCUAUUUCAAGUGGCAUAAGACAUUCCUUAAAGCAGUGUGUCAUAUCUGCUUAUACAGUCAGCAUUUUCUGUGGAGCAGAAAAUCUCCUCUCCGGCUCCCUGGGUACACAGCAAACAUCUUUGUGUGGGUAGCGUCCAGGAGGCUUCAGUGGCUCUGUUGUCUGUAGAUGGGUCAGGAAAUUUCUUGUGCCUGCAUACACUUCUUUUUUUUCUUCUUCCUGUUGAAUGCAAGCUUGGUCAAUCUGGGUAGCUUUUUUAAAUGCUCACUAUACAUCUCCUGUGUAUUACUGAAUUGUAAUUUAAGGUCAGGUAUUGAGAACUAUUUUAGAGAGAGGAACUAAGGAUGAAAAUCAAAAGGCUUGGUUGGACUGGAUGAUUGGCUCAGAGGUUAAGAGCACUGACUGCUCUUCCAGAGGUCCAGAGUUCAAUUCCUAGCAACCACAUGGUGGCUCACAACCAUCUGUAAUGGGAUCCGAUGCCCUCUUCUGGUGUGACUGAAGACAGUUACAGUGUACUCAUACACAUAAAAUAAAUAAAUAAUUCUUUUUUUUUUUUUUUGAUCCUUAAGACUUUUAAUAUGUCAUCAUUUAGUCUGUCAUUUCUCAACAUGCUUUAAAACUACAAAUUACAUAUUUUUAAGAUUUAUCUAUGUACCUAUGUACCUAUUUAUCUAUGUAUCUAUCUAUAUAUCUAUGUAUCUAUGCAUCUAUGUAUUUAUGUAUCUAUGUAUCUAUCUACAUCUAUCUAUCUAUCUAUCUAUCUAUCUGUAUGUAUGUAUAUACAUGCAUGCAUACAUAUGUACAUACAUACAUACAUUAAAUAGAGAAGGAAAAUUUAAUCAAUUUUUAUGAUUAUAUUUUCAACUUAAAUAUAUAUAAAUAAUUCUUUUAAG